rnacentral:rRNA from 1 species
GAUGAACGCUAGCGGGAGGCCUAACACAUGCAAGCCGAGCGGUAUUGUUUCUUCGGAAAUGAGAGAGCGGCGUACGGGUGCGGAACACGUGUGCAACCUGCCUUUAUCUGGGGGAUAGCCUUUCGAAAGGAAGAUUAAUACUCCAUAACAUAUUGAUUGGCAUCAAUUAAUAUUGAAAGCUCCGGCGGAUAGAGAUGGGCACGCGCAAGAUUAGCUAGUUGGUGAGGUAACGGCUCACCAAGGCGAUGAUCUUUAGGGGGCCUGAGAGGGUGAUCCCUCACACUGGUACUGAGACACGGACCAGACUCCUACGGGAGGCAGCAGUGAGGAAUAUUGGUCAAUGGGUGCAAGCCUGAACCAGCCAUCCCGCGUGAAGGACGACUGCCCUAUGGGUUGUAAACUUCUUUUGUAUAGGGAUAAACCUACCCUCGUGAGGGUAGCUGAAGGUACUAUACGAAUAAGCACCGGCUAACUCCGUGCCAGCAGCCGCGGUAAUACGGAGGGUGCAAGCGUUAUCCGGAUUUAUUGGGUUUAAAGGGUCCGUAGGCGGACUUAUAAGUCAGUGGUGAAAGCCUGUCGCUUAACGAUAGAACUGCCAUUGAUACUGUAAGUCUUGAGUAUAUUUGAGGUAGCUGGAAUAAGUAGUGUAGCGGUGAAAUGCAUAGAUAUUACUUAGAACACCAAUUGCGAAGGCAGGUUACCAAGAUAUAACUGACGCUGAGGGACGAAAGCGUGGGGAGCGAACAGGAUUAGAUACCCUGGUAGUCCACGCCGUAAACGAUGCUAACUCGUUUUUGGGCUUUAGGGUUCAGAGACCAAGCGAAAGUGAUAAGUUAGCCACCUGGGGAGUACGCUCGCAAGAGUGAAACUCGAAGGAAUUGACGGGGGCCCGCACAAGCGGUGGAUUAUGUGGUUUAAUUCGAUGAUACGCGAGGAACCUUACCAAGACUUAAAUGGGAAUUGACGGCUUUAGAAAUAGAGCUUUCUUCGGACAAUUUUCAAGGUGCUGCAUGGUUGUCGUCAGCUCGUGCCGUGAGGUGUUAGGUUAAGUCCUGCAACGAGCGCAACCCCUGUCACUAGUUGCCAUCAUUCAGUUGGGGACUCUAGUGAGACUGCCUACGCAAGUAGAGAGGAAGGUGGGGAUGACGUCAAAUCAUCACGGCCCUUACGUCUUGGGCCACACACGUAAUACAAUGGCCGGUACAGAGGGCAGCUACACAGCGAUGUGAUGCAAAUCUCGAAAGCCGGUCCCAGUUCGGAUUGGAGUCUGCAACUCGACUCUAUGAAGCUGGAAUCGCUAGUAAUCGCGCAUCAGCCAUGGCGCGGUGAAUACGUUCCCGGGCCU